CCAAUAGCGUAUAUUAAAGUUGUUGCAGUUAAAAAGCUCGUAGUUGAAUUUCGGGAUCAAUAUGUCGGUCGUGCCUUCGGUACGUACUGGUAUCAUUGGUCUCUCCUUUCUGACGAACCAUGAUGUCAUUAAUUUGGUGUUAUGGGGAGUUAGGACUGUUACUUUGAAAAAAUUAGAGUGUUUAGAGCGGGCUUUAGCUUGAAUACAUUAGCAUGGAAUAAUGAAAUAGGACGUUCGAACCUAUUUUGUUGGUUUCUAGGAUCAACGUAAUGAUUAAUAGGGAUAGUUGGGGGCAUUAGUAUUCAAUUGUCGGAGGUGAAAUUCUUGGAUUUAUUGAAGACUAACUACUGCGAAAGCAUUUGCCAAGGAUGUUUUCAUUAAUCAAGAACGAAAGUUAGGGGAUCGAAGACGAUCAGAUACCGUCGUAGUCUUAACCAUAAACUAUGCCGACUAGGGAUCGGAUGAUGUUAAUUUUUUAAUGACUCAUUCGGCGCCUUACG
rnacentral:rRNA from 1 species